GCGGCGAACGGGUGAGUAACACGUGGGUGAUCUGCCUUGCACUUCGGGAUAAGCCUGGGAAACUGGGUCUAAUACCGGAUAUGACCACGAACUGCAUGGUUUGUGGUGGAAAGAUUUAUCGGUGCGAGAUGGGCCCGCGGCCUAUCAGCUUGUUGGUGAGGUAACGGCCCACCAAGGCGACGACGGGUAGCCGACCUGAGAGGGUGACCGGCCACACUGGGACUGAGACACGGCCCAGACUCCUACGGGAGGCAGCAGUGGGGAAUAUUGCACAAUGGGCGAAAGCCUGAUGCAGCGACGCCGCGUGCGGGAUGACGGCCUUCGGGUUGUAAACCGCUUUUGACAGGGACGAAGCGCAAGUGACUGUACCUGUAGAAUAAGGACCGGCCAACUACGUGCCAGCAGCCGCGGUAAUACGUAGGGUCCGAGCGUUGUCCGGAAUUACUGGGCGUAAAGAGCUUGUAGGCGGUUCGUCGCGUCGUUUGUGAAAACUUGGGGCUCAACCUUAAGCUUGCAGGCGAUACGGGCGGACUAGAGUACUUCAGGGGAGACUGGAAUUCCUGGUGUAGCGGUGAAAUGCGCAGAUAUCAGGAGGAACACCGGUGGCGAAGGCGGGUCUCUGGGAAGUAACUGACGCUGAGAAGCGAAAGCAUGGGUAGCAAACAGGAUUAGAUACCCUGGUAGUCCAUGCCGUAAACGGUGGGUACUAGGUGUGGGGCUCCUUCCACGGACUCCGUGCCGUAGCUAACGCAUUAAGUACCCCGCCUGGGGAGUACGGCCGCAAGGCUAAAACUCAAAGAAAUUGACGGGGGCCCGCACAAGCGGCGGAGCAUGUGGAUUAAUUCGAUGCAACGCGAAGAACCUUACCUGGGUUUGACAUACACCGGAAACCUGCAGAGAUGUAGGCCCCCUUGUGGUCGGUGUACAGGUGGUGCAUGGCUGUCGUCAGCUCGUGUCGUGAGAUGUUGGGUUAAGUCCCGCAACGAGCGCAACCCUUAUCUUAUGUUGCCAGCGCGUAAUGGCGGGGACUCGUGAGAGACUGCCGGGGUCAACUCGGAGGAAGGUGGGGACGACGUCAAGUCAUCAUGCCCCUUAUGUCCAGGGCUUCACACAUGCUACAAUGGCCGGUACAGAGGGCUGCGAUACCGCGAGGUGGAGCGAAUCCCUUAAAGCCGGUCUCAGUUCGGAUCGGGGUCUGCAACUCGACCCCGUGAAGUUGGAGUCGCUAGUAAUCGCAGAUCAGCAACGCUGCGGUGAAUACGUUCCCGGGCCUUGUACACACCGCCCGUCACGUCAUGAAAGUCGGUAACAC
rnacentral:rRNA from 1 species